GGAUGCUGCUGUAGAGGAUGCUGCUGUGAAUACGCCAGUAAUGGAUGCUCAUGUUGGGGAUGUUGCUGUAGAGGAUGCUGCUGUGAAUGUGCCAGUAAUGGCAAAUACUCAUCGGCCAAGUGAAACCUCGGAAACAGUGGAGUCUGGCAACACUCAGGAUUUUCAUACACCAGAAAGUAUGCCACGAAGGAGAUCCAGUGCAAGGUAUGUGAUAAACCUCAAUGAUGUGUU